rnacentral:piRNA from 1 species
UGAGCUCAAUGCCCUAUUUCCUGGCAGUC